rnacentral:misc_RNA from 1 species
GAAAUGCGAUAAAUAAUGUGAAUUGCAGAAUUCAGUGAAUCAUCGAGUCUUUGAACGCACAUUGCGCCCCGCGGUAUUCCGUGGGGCAUGCCCGUCUCAGCGUCAUCAAGAUAGCAUAUCAAGCUGUUGGUGCUGCCCUACGGCAGCCCUCGAGCUUGGACCAUGUCACGGGAUGGGCGGACAGCGGUGUUUCUGCAUGUCCGCCUCCGUGGAAAGCGAUUCUUCAGUGGUCGGGUGAAAGCCCUUUUUCGUCCUUCUUGGCUGGACGCGAUAAGUCGAUUUUCAAUGUCGUCCUCGCCCGCCCAAAAAGGCCUGGUGGCAUAAAACCUGACCUCUGUUUAACACUGCGGUGACAAAUGAAGCCUUUGACCUGAGAUCGGGUAGGGUUACCCGCUGAACU